rnacentral:lncRNA from 1 species
GUGUACUAUUCCUCCACUGAUAUUAUCAUCAUUUUGUUGAACUUCUGUUUGUGUAACAGAAAUGACUACCAUCGGGACUUCGUCAAGUCAAAAUGAUUCAAAUAAUAUGGUACCACCCGUGGCCAUACCGUUGCAUAAUACUACUAUCCCACAUGGGAAAAGUCGGAAAAGUUUGUAGGAGUAGACUUCAAGAGGUGGCAACAAAAGAUGUUGUUUUAUCUCACCACUCUUAAUUUGGCUAAAUUUCUGAAGGAACUGCACCGGCCGCAUAAGAAGGGGAAAAUAAUCGUGAAUCGAUUAUUGCUUUGGAUGCAUGGAAAUACUCGGACUUCCUAUGCAAGAACUAUAUCAUAAACACAUUGGAUAAUACACUAUAUGGGGUGUAUUGUUCAAAGGAAUCAGCCAAGGAACUAUGAGAUUCUUUGGAGACAAAGUACAAGACCGAAGAUGCCGGAACAAAGAAGUUCAUUGUUGACAAAUUUUUGGACUACAAGAUGGUGGAUUCCAAAAUCGUAAUUAGUCAAGUGCAAGAGAUUCAAGUCUUGUUACACGACAUCCACGCCGAGAAAAUGGAAUUGAGUGAAUCAUUUCAAGUGGCUGCCAUUAUUGAGAAACUCCCCCCUAUGUGGAGAGAUUUCAAAAAUUACCUCAAACACAAACGCAAGGAAAUGAACUUGGAAGAAUUGAUUGUGCGCUUGAGGAUUGAAGAGGACAAUCGGAAAAUCGAAUAGAGGCCGGUUGAUCCAGAUGGCGUAAAUUUUGUUGAAAUGGAAUCAAAUGCAACAAAUAAGAAACGAAAGGCUCCUAAUUAUGUACCGCGAAAAGACAAUUCCAAGAAGGCUAAGAAGUUCAAAGGGAAUUAUUACAACUGUGGCAAAGUUGGAUAUCGUUCAAGUGAAUGUCGAAAGCCAAAGAAAAAUGCUCAAGCCCACAUGGUUGCAAAUAACACUAUAUCCGAUGGACUGCAAGAAAUAAGUUUAUCUGCAGUAGUGUCCGAAUGCAACAUGAUUGGAAAUAUUAGAAAAU